GGCUACGGUCCAGUAAAAAGCAUAAAGAAAGAAAUCAAAAACAAAAAACCAAAAAAACUACUAGAACAAACGGUCUUAAAACAAACUAACAUAACUAGCCCAUCUCAUCCAAAUGCAAGUAAACUAAAACAGCAAACAAAUCUUCUCCUAUGCCAGCCAAAUCUAACAGCUGGAUGCCAAUAUCUUGUGUCUUUUCACGUCAAUCAACCCAGCCACUAAUGAUAGCAGGUUUUCAAAAAUUGAAAUGAAUUCUUAUCUGCUACCUUUUAUUUCCAAACCUUUCAUUUCUUCAUUUGCUCAGUCUGGAGGCUUUAGCAGAGGGUUCUCCACAGCUUGACGAGCCAAAUCUGGAAUUCCUCCCAUCAGGUAAAAACUCUCUCUUCUUUUUAAGGCCUCCUUUACGAUAACAUGUGCGUAGAUAUUCCCUGCUUUAGGGACAUAAUAAAACUCAAUCUCCUGGAAUCUGACUUUUCUGCUUUGAAUAUCCCUGAUAAUGGCUCCAAUGACCGAUUUAUCUAUACCAGUACUCUGGCAUUUCUUAAUGACAGUUUUCGAGUCCCUCGCUACUUUUAUUUUAUUUAAUCCCAUAAGAAUCCCUAAUUUUACUGCCUGUAACACUGCAUAUGCCUCUGCCAUGAAUGGAGUUGCUAUCUCGGAGUGUAUGACUGCUUUCGAUGCAAGGAUCUCUCCCUCCUCAUUCUGUACAAGCAAACCCGUAGCCGAUCUGGACGAUUGACAGUUAAAUGCUGCAUCAAAAUGAAUUGUGACCCUUCCUCUUCUACAUUCCUGUUGGGUAUUUUUAGUAGAUUGAAGAGGAAGUUUUCUCUUUUUUAUUGCAUCCAACUCUAUGAUAUAGUUUUGAGUUUGCCUUACUAUUUCGAUUCCUGUCGUAUUUCUUCUUUCAUAUAGUAAUCGAUUUCUGUUGAACCAGAUUAACUAGAAUCCGCAACAAAAAAGUCGGAUUUGCUCAGUAGUCCAUUGGCCGAAGAUCCAGGUAAACCAUUCCCAUAUAUUCAGAUUGUUAUGGUUUAAUACCCAUGUUAGAUUUAACUGGUUCCAUACCUCAACUGUUGUAGGGCACUAUUGAAAAAUAUGAAUGUUGUCUUCUUCUCCUUGGCGACAUUUAGGGCAUUGAGCUUCCACCACAACCCUCUUAAGCUUUAGAUUGACAAGGGACUGAAUGAAGUUCCAGGAAAAUCUCUAUACUGUAAUCUGUAUUUUUGAGGGAAUUUCCAUAGUUUCCUAUAGAAGCUUUUAAUUUUGGCAUGUAAAGUAAAAUUAUUAGGAUCCAAGCUAGUUUCAUGUAAUAGUUUAUAGGCACUCUUUACAGAGAACUCCCCUAUCAACUCCCCUCUCUAUACUUGAAAAUCCUCGUGUGUCGUCUCCGCUAGUGGAAUCUUCAGGAUUUUUUCUGUUAUAUCCAUUCAAAAGGUAUUCCUUACGACCUUUGUUUUCCAACUUCUAUUAUUGGCUUCUAUUAGAUCCGAUACUAACUUGAUAUUUUCAAUGUUAUCUUGAUUUGGUACUUUAUCUACUUCGUUUCCUGAUAUCCACAAAUCGUCCCAAAUGGAUAUUUGAUCACCUCUCCCAACCCUCCAGCAUAAGCCUUUCUCCAAAAGCCCUCUCGCGACCCAAACACUCUUCUAGGUGAGCGAAGGUAAAUUUCCUAAUCGAGCUUUGUAGAAAUUCGAAUUAGGAUAAUAUUUUGCCUUCAAAAUGCGGGCUAAUAAUGAAUUUGGAUAAUUAACUAGACGCCACCCUUGCUUUGCUAAUAACGCAACAUAAAACUUCGCAAGAUCUCAAAAACCAAGGUCAUCUUCUUUUAAUAAGCAUAGAUCUUUCCAAGCGCACCAAUGAAUACCUUUCCUAUUAUGACUAUUAUCCCCUCCAAUUCAGCACAUAGAACCUUAGGAAGUAGAAAACAAGACAUCUUAUAAGUUGGGAUAGAUUGGAGAAUAGCUUUGACAAAAACUUCCUUCCCUUUGGAAGAGAUAUCUUAUACUCCAACUUUCAAUUUGUUGUUUAAAUCUAUCCUUCAAAUUUUGAAAAGACGAUCUCUUCCUUAUAACCACCAUAUUGGGAAGUCUUAGAUGCCGUUUUGGAUCGUGAAACUGUAACCCUUUCCUCUUCUUGUGUAUUGGUACUGAAGAAAAUAGAUGAUUUAUCAUAAUUGACACAUUGGCCUGAACUCAUCUCAUACUCAUUCAAUAUUUGUUUUAGAGAAUGUGCUCCCCUUUCAGUAGCUUCUGCAAAUAAGAUAUAGCCAUCGACAAAGAGUAGAUGAGAGAUGGUUGGCCCAUUUUGACUAGCUUUAACUCCUUUUAAGGAUGUUUCUUGCUUUUACAAGCCUUAUUAGACUUGAGAGCCCUUCCCCACAAAAUAGAAAUAAAAACGGACUUAAAGGGUCUCCUUUUCUAAGGCCUCUAGAUGGAAGAAAAAGUUUCUCAUAUAUUUCCAUUUAAAACUACAGAAUAUGAUACUGUAGACAUAUUUCAUUAACAGAUCAACCUAUCCUGGAUCAAAUCUCAUUUUCUUUAUCACCCCCUCCACAAAAUUCCUUUCAUCCUUAUCAUAUGCCUUACUGAUGUCUAGUUUCACAGCCAUAAGCCCUUUUAUCCCUCUCUUCUUGUGUUUUAAAGUGUGCAGAAUUUCAUACGCUAAUAACACAUUAUCAAAAAUUAGCCUCCCUGGAGCAAAGCACUUUGUGCUAAAUCGAUACAUUUAUGAAUCACUACUCGAAGCCGAUUAACAAUGACCUUAGCUAUCAAUUUAUAAAGCACAUUGCAUAAACUAAUUGGUCUAAAUUGUGUAAUACUAGAAGGAUUCGUAAUUUUUGGGAUUAACACUAUUUUUUUUCUUGAUCGAAUGAAAUUCCAUACCUUCAUUUAAUCUUUGAAGGCAAAAAGUAGAGACAUCCUCUCUAAAGAUUGGCCAGCAUUUUUGAUAAAUAAGGCUGGAAACCCAUUCUCUCUUGGAGCUUUUGUAGAACCCAUUUAUGAUAGAGCUUCUUUUAUCUCUUCUUUGGUGUAACUUGCCUUUAAUUUAUAAUUAUCUUCCUCAGAAAUAUAGUAGUCAAUUCCUGACAAGAUUUUAUCAUGGUUAUCUCAUCUUUCUGCUAAAAAUAACUUCAUAAAAUACAAUUUGGCAAUUUCCUCCAUCUCUCUAAACUCCACUGUCUCUUUACCAUCUUCAAAUUGCAUUUUGUGGAUAAAAUUUUGUUUCCAUCUUUGUGUCACUUGCUUAUGAAAAAACGUUGUAUUUUUGUCUCCAAGUUUCAACCAAUUUAAUCGGGCCCUCUGUUCCCAGUAGCAUUCAUCAUUUUCUAUCUCGAAGUUCAAAUGGAUCUUAGUAUCUAUAAGCUCUGUCAAAUUCUGAUCACUUCCAUCAUAUUCCAGUAACGUUGCUAACUUUGAAGUUAGAACCUCUGUUUUCAUUUUUUUACUCCAUCGAAUCUGACGUGCCCAGCUUUCUAAACCUCUUUUCAGAUUUUCCAAUUUACUCAAAAGAUCUCUUAUGGAAUUUUCCCAAAGACGCCUAGCUUUCUCAAAAAAUGUUUCCUCCAAAACCCAAAACCCACCUGGCUUCAAACUUAAAAUUUUUAUUAAGCAGCCUUCUAGCUCCAUAUUCUGUAUUAAUAAGAAGUGGACAAUGUAAUAUCCUGAAUUAGGGCUUAAUCGAAAUAGUGGUUUCGUGACCACAAAUCUGAGAUAGAAAUAAUAAUUUUAUAAUUAUUUUGAUGAUUAUGAUAUGAUUGCAUGAUUGUGUGAAAAUUUCGUGAAGAAAUUUUAUGCCUAAAAUGCUUAAAUUGAAAGUAGGGACUAAAUCGAAUAAGUUGUAAAACUUACAUUCUAGAAAUUUUUAGUAUAAAAUUGUUUUAGAAUAUUAAUGAGGAUUAAAAUAGAAAUUUGACCAAUUUUAAGUUCAUGGACAAAAUUAGAACAUGGAAAGAAUUUUUGGAAAGUUUAGUAGUAAGGGUAUUUUGGUCAUUUAAUUAUUAAAAUGAAUUAAAAAUAAAAUUAAAAGUUAAUUUUUGUCCAUCUUCUUCAUUAGGCCGAAAUUUUAAGGGUUUUCUAUAGCUAGGGUUUGUUUUAAGCUUCUAAGCUUCAUAAUAAGUGAUUUCAAGCCCCGUUUUUAAUGUUCUUUACGUUUUCAGAAUCCCGGUAGUUCAAUUAAGCUUAUGUUAGCAAUAAUUCAACCUAGGGUUUAUAUUUGAAAAAAUACUCAUAGGUGAAAUUUGUGUAUUAUGAUGUUUUAUGAUAGAAUAUGAGGUUUUAAAUUAUGUCAAAUUCUCAUCACUUCCAUCAUAUUCCAGUAAUGUUGCUAACUUUGAAGUUAGAACCUCUGUUUUCAUUUUUUUACUCCAUCAAAUCUGACGUGCCCAGUUUUCUAAACCUCUUUUCAGAUUUUCCAAUUUACUCAAAAGAUCUCUUAUGGAAUUUUCCCAAAGACGCCUAGCUUUCUCAAAAAAUGUUUCCUCCAAAACCCAAAACCCACCUGGCUUCAACUUAAAAUUUUUAUUGAGCAGCCUUCUAGCUCCAUAUUCUGUAUUAAUAAGAAGUGGACAAUGUAAUAUCCUGAAUUAGGGCUUAAUCGGAAUAGUGGUUUCGUGACCACAAAUCUGAGAUAGAAAUAAUAAUUUUAUAAUUAUUUUGAUGAUUAUGAUAUGAUUGCAUGAUUGUGUGAAAAUUUCGUGAUGAAAUUUUAUGCCUAAAAUGCUUAAAUUGAAAGUAAGGACUAAAUCGAAUAAGUUGUAAAACUUGCAUUCUAGAAGUUUUUAGUAUAAAAUUGUUUUGGAAUAUUAAUGAGGAUUAAAAUAGAAAUUUGACCAAUUUUAAGUUCAUGGACAAAAUUAGAACAUGGAAAGAAUUUUUGGAAAGUUUAGUAGUAAGGGUAUUUUGGUCAUUUAGUUAUUAAAAUGAAUUAAAAAUAAAAUUAAAAGCUAAUUUUUGUCCAUCUUCUUCAUUAGGCCGAAAUUUCAAGGGUUUUCUAUAGCUAGGGUUUGUUUCAAGCUUCUAAGUUUCAUAAUAAGUGAUUUCAAGCCCCAUUUUUAAUGUUCUUUACGUUUUCAGAAUCCCGGUAGUUCGAUUAAGCUUAUGUUAGCAAUAAUUCAACCUAGGGUUUAUAUUUGAAAAAAUACCCAUAGGUGAAAUUUGUGUAUUAUGAUGUUUUAUGAUAGAAUAUGAGGUUUUAAAUUAUGUCAAAUUCUCAUCACUUCCAUCAUAUUCUAGUAACGUUGCUAACUUUGAAGUUAGAACCUCUGUUUUCAUUUUUUUACUCCAUCAAAUCUGACGUGCCCAGCUUUCUAAACCUCUUUUCAGAUUUUCCAAUUUACUCAAAAGAUCUCCUAUGGAAUUUUCCCAAAGACGCCUAGCUUUCUCAAAAAAUGUUUCCUCCAAAACCCAAAACCCACCUGGCUUCAAACUUAAAAUUUUUAUUAAGCAGCCUUCUAGCUCCAUAUUCUGUAUUAAUAAGAAGUGGACAAUGUAAUAUCCUGAAUUAGGGCUUAAUCGGAAUAGUGGUUUUGUAAUCACAAAUCUGAGAUAGAAAUAAUAAUUUUAUAAUUAUUUUGAUGAUUAUGAUAUGAUUGCAUGAUUGUGUGAAAAUUUCGUGAUGAAAUUUUAUGCCUAAAAUACUUAAAUUGAAAGUAGGGACUAAAUCGAAUAAGUUGUAAAACUUGCAUUCUAGAAGUUUUUAGUAUAAAAUUGUUUUGGAAUAUUAAUGAGGUCUAAAAUAGAAAUUUGACCAAUUUUAAGUUCAUGGACAAAAUUAGGACAUGGAAAGAAUUUUUGGAAAGUUUAGUAGUAAGGGUAUUUUGGUCAUUUAGUUAUUAAAAUGAAUUAAAAACAAAAUGAAAAGCUAAUUUUUGUCCAUCUUCUUCAUUAGGCUGAAAUUUCAAGGGUUUUCUAUAGCUAGGGUUUGUUUCAAGCUUCUAAGCUUCAUAAUAAGUAAUUCCAAGCCCCAUUUUUAAUAUUCUUUACGUUUUUAGAAUCCCGGUAGUUCGAUUAAGCUUAUGUUAGCAAUAAUUCAACCUAGGGUUUAUAUUUGAAAAAAAUACCCAUAGGUGAAAUUUGUGUAUUAUGAUGUUUUAUGAUAGAAUAUGAGGUUUUAAAUUAUGUUAGACAACUUGUGCUACUCGGUUUUGAGUGAAAACGAGUAAAAGGGCUUAAUCGACAAAAAUACCUAAUAGUCACAAGUAUAUGUUAGAGAGAGAAUUUGAUGUUGCCAUAGAAGGAAAAACUGAUCAGCAUGUUAUAAAAUAUAAGAAUAAGGAAUAAAGUUUAAUUCCCGAGCCUAGAGGCAAAAGUUUAAUUAUGCAAAAAUUUAGGGGCAAAAGUGUAAUUUUUUUAAAGUUCGUAUUAAAUGCUGUUUUAAUGAAUGUAUGUAUUAAAUAAGAUUAAUUUGGUAUUAUAGAUCAAUAAAAAUGAGAUUCAAGUCGCGAUCGAGGAAAAGAAAAGAUUGUGGACUAAAUUGUAAAAUUUUUAUAUUUUGGUACCAAGGUAAGUUCAUGUGUAAAUGUAGUAAAAUAAUUGUCAUUUUAAGCAAUUUAAUGUUUAUAUGAUAUGAUGUUGAUUAUUAUCAUGAAAUAUUAUGCUUUGUGGUUAUUGUUGAAUAAUAUGUAAUUAUAUGAAUUACUUGAUGAGUAUGAACUAUCAUCGAAGUACCGAUUUCGAUAAUCCGUGGAAGGCGGCAAAGAUGUGUCAUCGAGGAAAACGUCCGUUUGAACCUUAGGAAUAUAUUAGGAUACAAGUGACAUGUCACUAGAAUGGUUGAGCAUCUGAACUCGUUGAGUUGAGUCCGAGUUCACUUAUUGAUGCGAAUGUCUGAACUCGUUGAUUUGAGUCCGAGUUCGUGAAAUGUAACUAGGCAUCCGACCUCGUUGAGUUGAGUUCGAGUUCACUUAUGGAUGCGAACGCCCGAGCUCGUUGAGUUGAGUCUGAGUUCACUUAUGGGCGGGUUACAUGGUAGCUUAAUUAUAUAUGAGGCAUUUAUGUGCAAAUUAUCCGUGUAUCCAAGUUGUAUUUCGAUGUGUUCAACGGGUGAAAUUUCUAGUGAAAUGGAAGAACACUUAAGAUGCAAGCGAUGUUUUGGUAAGUGUUGUGAAAUGGAAACUUUGGACAGGUAUGUUCUUAACCCUCGGGUUGAAAAUAGAUACAACAAUGAUAAGGUGGUAAGAUGAGGAAUGAUGUUUAGAAAUGUGAUAUAUGUUUUGGUGAUACCAUGCUAAAAUUGUUUGGUAUAUUUGUAUUGUUAUGUUACUUGUUAUUUACAUAUGAACUUACUAAGCAUUUAUGCUUACUCUCUCCUUUUUAUUUACUGUAGUUUUGAACAAGUCAGCUCGGGAAUCAGGACGAGUCGAAGGUUCGAUCACACUAUCCAAAGGACUUUCAUCUGGGUAAAUGGCUUGUAAAACUUAAGUAUGGCAUGUAUAGCAAUAUACUUAUUUUGUGUAAAUAAUUUUAUGAUAUGGCCAUGUUUGGUUGAGAAAAUGUUUGAUAUUGAUAAGUCAUUAUGAUGGCUAAUUUAGACCAUGUUUGAUAUUAUGAAGUUUAAUAGGUUAUCUAGUUCAUAAAAAUUCAUGGAAAGAUGAAACUUGCCUUAAAACAGAAUAUUGAUGCAGCAAUGACAUGAAUUUAAAAAAUCACUAAAAAUAGUAUAAAUGGAAAUAAAUGAUGAGUAAGUUAUGAAAUUGAAGCUUAAUGAGUCUAUUUUCAUGUGGAUUGAACAAAACAGGUAUAUAAAUUAUAUUU
rnacentral:lncRNA from 1 species